UGCAUCGGCCGGAAUCGAACCCGGGGCGCCCGCGUGGCAGGCGAGCAUUCUACCACUGCACCAAAAGC
rnacentral:tRNA from 1 species